GGCCCCAUGGUCUAGCGGCCUACGACACCGCCCUCUCACGGCGGAACCACGGGUUCGAAUCCCGUUGGGGUCA
rnacentral:tRNA from 1 species